UCUUUAUCCAAACAGCUUCCUUUGUAGCAUCUGAUGAAUUAUGGAAAAACAUAUAUAUAAAUUCAGUUCUUAGUUUAGUUUCGGUUCGAUACGGUUCCGAUUCAGUUUCGAUACGAUUUCGGUUUGAUUCUUAAUGAAGAACCAUAACCAAACCGAAGUAUCAAAAUAAAUUCGAUUCGAGACUGUUCUUCAAUUCUGCUAGGUUUCCUCAAGAAUUGUGCACAGCCCUAAUUUUAACUACUCCUUUUUCUCAUUGCUUAGGACUUGAUGAGUGCAUCUUUUUUUCCCUGAAGGUUUCAAAUGG
rnacentral:misc_RNA from 1 species